rnacentral:rRNA from 1 species
GACGAACGCUGGCGGCGUGCUUAACACAUGCAAGUCGAGCGGUAAGGCCCUUUCGGGGGUACACGAGCGGCGAACGGGUGAGUAACACGUGGGUGACCUGCCCUCAGCUCUGGGAUAAGCCUGGGAAACCGGGUCUAAUACUGGAUAUGACUCCAUGACGCAUGUUGUGGGGUGAAAGCCUUGUGCGGCUGAGGAUGGGCCCGCGGCCUAUCAGCUUGUUGGGGGGUGA